rnacentral:rRNA from 1 species
GAUGAACGCUGGCGGCGUGCUUAACACAUGCAAGUCGAACGGAAAGGCUCCUGCUUGCCGGGGUACUCGAGUGGCGAACGGGUGAGUAACACGUGGGUGAUCUGCCCUGCACUUCGGGAUAAGCCUGGGAAACUGGGUCUAAUACCGGAUAGGACGAUGGGAUGGAUGCCAUUGUGGAAAGUUUUUCGGUGUGGGUUGAGCUCGCGGGCUAUCAGCUUGUUGGUGGGGUAAUGGCCUACCAAGGCGUCGACGGGUAGUCGGCCUGGGAGGGUGUACGGCCACAUUGGGACUGAGAUACGGCCCAGACUCCUACGGGAGGCAGCAGUGGGGAAUAUUGCACAAUGGGCGCAAGCCUGAUGCAGCGGCGCCGCGUGGGGGAUGACGGCCUUCGGGUUGUAAACUCCUUUCGCUAGGGACGAAGCGCAAGUGACGGUACCUGGAGAAGAAGCACCGGCUAACUACGUG